AAGUUAAACUGGUUCAUCGCUUGCUAUGCAAGAGGAAAGUCCGGACAGCUUAGAGCAGUAUGCUUCCUAACAGGAAGGGUUUUUUUAAAACACAGAUAGUGCCACAGAAAAGAAACAGCCAGAGAUGGCAAUGGUGAAAAGGUGAGGUAAGAGCUCACCGUGAUGGUGGUGACACCAUUAGCGAGGUAAACCUCAUGCGCUGAAAGACCAAAUAAACCAAGGUUACUUUGUUGAAGAGUUGCUCGCUCAACUUGGAGGGUAGGUCGCUCGAGCUAAUUAGUGAUAAUUAGCCUAGAUAAAUGAUGAACCUAGACAGAAUCCGGCUUAUAGGUUUAACUUUUUU
rnacentral:RNase_P_RNA from 1 species